AGCGAACGCUGGCGACAGGCUUAACACAUGCAAGUCGAACGGGCACUUCGGUGCUAGUGGCAGACGGGUGAGUAACACGUGGGAACGUACCUUUCGGUUCGGAAUAAUCCAGGGAAACUUGGACUAAUACCGGAUACGCCCUUCGGGGGAAAGAUUCAUCGCCGAUAGAUCGGCCCGCGUCUGAUUAGCUAGUUGGUGAGGUAAUGGCUCACCAAGGCGACGAUCAGUAGCUGGUCUGAGAGGAUGAUCAGCCACAUUGGGACUGAGACACGGCCCAAACUCCUACGGGAGGCAGCAGUGGGGAAUAUUGGACAAUGGGCGCAAGCCUGAUCCAGCCAUGCCGCGUGAGUGAUGAAGGCCUUAGGGUUGUAAAGCUCUUUUGUCCGGGAAGAUAAUGACUGUACCGGAAGAAUAAGCCCCGGCUAACUUCGUG
rnacentral:rRNA from 1 species